GGUUACAGCUUAGUUGGUAGAGUGCUUGCCCUGAAUGCACAAGACCCUGGGUUCAAUCCCCAGCACCA
rnacentral:tRNA from 1 species